CAGCAGCCACGGUAAAACGUAGGUGGCAAGCGUUGUCCGGAAUUAUUGGGCGUAAAGGGCUCGCAGGCGGUUUCUUAAGUCUGAUGUGAAAGCCCCCGGCCCAACCGGGGAGGGUCAUUGGAAACUGGGAAACUUGAGUGCAGAAGGGGAGAGUGGAAUUCCAUGUGUAGCGGUGAAAUGCGUAGAUAUAUGGAGGAACACCAGUGGCGAAGGCGACUCUCUGGUCUGUAACUGACGCUGAGGCGCGAAAGCGCGGGGAGCAAACAGGAUUAGAUACCCCUGUAGUCCCUGUCUCUUAUAC
rnacentral:rRNA from 1 species